GACGAACGCUGGCGGCGUGCCUGACACAUGCAAGUCGGACGGUUCUUGCACCUUCAAGCUUACUUGCUGGUGCAAGGAUAGUGGCGGACGGGUGAGUAACGCGUGAACAUCUACCCAUUGGAGGGGGACAACCCGUCGAAAGGCGGGCUAAUACCGCGUAAGCCGCGAGGUGAGAGGCUGCCUAUUGGUGGCCGCCGAUGGAUGGGUUCGCGUCCUAUCAGCUGGUUGGUGGGGUAACGGCCUACCAAGGCGAAGACGGGUAGCCGGUCUGAGAGGAUGGCCGGCCACACUGGAACUGAGACACGGUCCAGACUCCUACGGGAGGCAGCAGUGGGGAAUAUUGGGCAAUGGGGGUAACCCUGACCCAGCGACGCCGCGUGAGGGACGAAGGUUUUCGGAUCGUAAACCUCUGUUGUACGGGAAGAAGGAAUUGACGGUACCGUACGAGAAAGCCCCGGCAAACUACGUG
rnacentral:rRNA from 1 species